rnacentral:ncRNA from 2 species
GGUUAAAGCCUUAUGGUCGCUACCAUUGCACUCCGGUAGCGUUAAAAGGGAAGACGGGUGAGAAUCCCGCGCAGCCCCCGCUACUGUGAGGGAGGACGAAGCCCUAGUAAGCCACUGCCGAAAGGUGGGAAGGCAGGGUGGAGGAUGAGUCCCGAGCCAGGAGACCUGCCAUAAGGUUUUAGAAGUU